rfam:Hordeum vulgare subsp. vulgare, WGS project CAJW01000000 data, contig: morex_contig_162391
AAAGUACUCCCUCUGUCUCAAAAUUCUUGUCUUAGAUUUGUCUAGAUAUGAAUGCAUCUAGUCAUGAUUUAGUAUUUAGAUACACUCAUAUCUAGACAAAACUAAGACAAGAAUUUUAAGACGGAGGGAGUAUUAC